rnacentral:misc_RNA from 1 species
CAACUUGGUGAUGUGGGAUAUUGAGCCACGUUGAUUAGCGAAACGACGUGGAAUAUGACGGGGAAAUAACUACUAUUUACAUCUUGUACUUGCAUUAAACGUACUAGAAGUUAUAGCCAAACAUUAGAAGAACACAAGAGCUCGUUGGAACGAGAAACGGAUUUCGUUUAGCACAUAGGAUAUCUCAAGAUGAGGAUAAAAGAAAUAGAUCGAACGGCCAACGUGUCGUGGUCACCAGUUGACCAAUAUCCAAUCUAUAUGGUAACAGGAACAGCAGCCCAACAACUGGAUGCCACAUUCAGCACAACAUCAGCACUGGAAGUGUACAGUCUGAAUCUGGCCGAGGCGACACUCGACAUGCCACUUGUGGCUUCCUUGCAGUCAGAAUGCAGAUUCCACAAAGUAUUAUGGGGAUCUUAUGGUAUGGAUGGCACAACAGCACCGGCAGGGGUGAUAGUAGCUGGUACAGACAAUGGUCUCGUCCAGGCAUUUGACGCAGCAGCUCUCUUAAAGGGGGACCAGGACUGUCAGCUGUUUGAACAGUCAAAACACACUGGUGCUGUCAAGGCUCUAGACUUUAACCCUUUCCAGCAAAACCUGCUGGCGUCAGGAGCCGGUGAGUCUGAGAUCUACAUCUGGGACAUGACGAAACCAGACAACCCAAUGACACCUGGACAGAAAUCACUGCCUCCAGAGGAAGUAGCAUGCGUGGCCUGGAACAGACAGGUUCAACACAUCUUGGGCUCCACGUUCGGGACGCGAUGUGUUGUGUGGGACUUGAGGAAGAACGAGCCUAUCAUCAAAAUAAGUGACAGUAUGUCUCGGAUAAAAUGCAAACAUGUAGCCUGGCACCCUGAUGUAGCCACACAACUGAUGAUCUCAUCUGAGGAUGACCACUCCCCUGUCAUACAGCUGUGGGAUCUCAGAUAUGCCACGUCGCCUCUCAAAGUCCUAGAGAACCAUCAAAGAGGAAUAUUGUCCAUGUCAUGGUGCCCACGAGACCCCGACCUGCUACUGUCGUGUGGGAAGGACAACCGCAUCCUCUGCUGGAACCCUAACUCCAAUGUCCAGGGUGGAGAGGUGGUGUAUGAGUUGCCAACGCGGAAUCAGUGGAGUUUUGAUGUAGAGUGGUGUCCACGCAAUCCCUCCCUCAUCUCCAGCUCCUCCUUCGACGGUCAUGUGACUGUGUACUCCCUCUUAGGGGGCGGGCAUCCCCUCCAGCCCAGCAACAAAGUAGCAGAGUCGUUCAGUGGACUGGAGCCUUUCGCCCAGGCCCCCAUCCACGUGACCCAGGAGGAGGAGAAAAUUGUUCCAUUAAAGAAGCCCCCCAAGUGGCUCCGCAAACCUGUUGGUGCUUCCUUUGCCUUCGGUGGCAAACUAGUCAGCUUUGAUCACCUGAAACCUCAGAACCCUCAACAGCCCGUCCCCAAACAGGUGUUCAUCAGCCAGGUUGUGACGGAGACUGAACUACUGACACGGUCCGGCCAGCUGGAGACAGCACUCAACAACAACCAGUUUCUCGAGUUCUGUGCCAUGAAGGCUGCCAAUGCUGGAGACGGCAUGCAGGAGAAUCUCUGGAACUUCCUCAGGGUAAACUUUGAAAAGGAGCCAAGAGCAAGAUUCCUGCAACUUUUAGGAUAUGAUCAAAAUGAACUUGCCAAAAAGGUUGUGGAACAUACAGGCACAGACGCUGCACUAUCACGGAGUCAGGGGAUAGAUGCCUCAGAACUUGCCCAGAAAAUGUCCAUGUUAGACGCAGGGGAUUCUCUUACAGUACCUGGGCCAAUGGCUAGUGGACAGGCAUCUCCUAGUGUGGGGUCAAAGACCCCUGGAAGUCGAGAUGAGUUGUCUGAUGGCUCUGCGAUGUUUGAUGAGAUCGCCUCACAGCAGCGUGAACCGGGGCUGCAGACACCUCUAGCCAUCCCCAGUAGUAAUGAUGCGGAUGGUCUAAUGACGCAGGCGCUGCUGACUGGCAACUUUGAAGCAGCUGUCGAGAUGUGUCUCAGUGAGAACAAGAUGGCCGAGGCAAUUCUACUCGCCAUUGCAGGGGGACCUGAGCUCCUCAGUCGAACUCAGAAAAAAUACUUUCAGAAAAAUAAGAGUAACCUAGGAAGGCUUGUUUCCUCAAUCGUCACUCACGACUGGGCACAUAUAGUGGAGACCUGUGACCUAGACAACUGGAAGGAGGCCCUAGCAAUCAUCCUCACGUACUCCUCCGCUGAAGAGUUUGCUGCCCUGUGUGAUUCCCUGGCCACGCGGCUGGAGUCGGAGAGGGAGGGAGAGCUGUCUCUGUACGCCAGCCUGUGCUAUGUGUGUUCUGGGAAUGUGGAGAGGCUGGUGGAUAACUGGGUCCGCAACACUGAAAACAACAACGCUCCGCUAGCACUACAGGACCUGGUGGAGAAGAUCAUGGUGCUCAGGAAAGCAGUAGAGAUGUCUCGAGGCAAGGCGCCGGAGAUCCCCAGCGGCCCUCUAGCAGACAGGCUGAGUCAGUACUCCGAGAUGCUGGCGGCCCAGGGCAGUAUUUUCACUGCCAUAGGCUACCUCCGCAAUACUAAUGAGCCUUCCCUCCAAAUCCUCCAGGAGAGGCUUUUCAGAGCAUUUGGACAGAACAUCCCCGGCAUCCAGAUACCAUCGUUCCCCUUCUCCAAGGUGAACAUCCUCCCCGAGGGCAGCCGACAGCCCCAGGUUGCUCAACCGGCCAGCCAGCAGCAGCGUGGUGGACAGCGUCAGUCCUCCUCGUACCAGGCCCAGGCCCGCAGCAACUUCCAGACAACGACCACCCCCAGCAGCAACUACUACCAGAACCAAGGACAGUACGCGUCCGUCAACGGCCCCGUGUCCACACAGACUACAUACACACCUCAGCCGGCAGUCAGCGCUGCGGCAGCUCCAGCAUCUAAAGGUCCGUUGUCCCAUAAGUACCCUGCUUACCCGUCGUCGGCCGGAGCCUAUGGCAUAGACAGCUACCAACAAACCAACUACAUGCAGCCUAACUUCUCACAGGCACAGCAGUUCAACCAGCCAGCAUUCAGUCAGCCGAACCAGUUUGGAGGUGCUGCCUCUCAACCCAACUCCAUGCAACCAACCAGCUUCUACAAUCCCACAUCAACCCCUGGUGCUCCCUUUGCCCCACCCCCCAACCCUGCCCCCCAGUCAACCCCCAAGAUGCCCUCCUACCAGGAUGUCAAGUCUGACACGGCCUGGAAUGACCCCCCUCUGAUCACCUCCAAGAAGCAGCCCACUGCCCAAUAUGACCCUCAGUCUGCUAUCACCUCCCCACUGUACGGCGGCCCCGCUGGUAACGAGCAGCCCCCACCUGGCGCCCCCAUGAACUACAACUUCUACAACCCCCAGGAGUAUCAGCCCCCUCCAGAGCAACAAUAUACUGCCAUGACACCUCCCACCAUGCCCGCUUUCCAGGCCCCCCAGAAGCCCAAGCCUCAGAAGCCUGCCCCGGAGGAGGUGAAGCCAGUCCAGAAGGGCCCCGUCCCGGCCGAGCACAAGGUCCUUCAGGAGAUCUUCAACCUGCUUGUCAGUAACUGCAGCCAGGCCGCCUCCAGUGCACAAAUGAAGAGGAAACUAGAGGAUGUAUCCAGGAAGUUGGAACUGUUGUACGACCGUCUCCGGGACGGAACGUUAUCUGGGAAUGUGGUCCUGGGCCUGCACCAGAUCAUCCAGUCUGUACAGCAGUACGACUACAACGCCAGCCUCGGCGUCUACACCCAGAUGAUCAGCCAGGGCAACUUCUCCGAGAUCAGCAGCUUCAUGCCUGGCAUCAAAGUCCUCAUCCAGUCAGCAGCACAGCUGCAGGUCUAUGUCCAGGGUUAACACACCGUGUGUCCAGUGCAGGGAGGUGCUGCAUUACACAGGUUUAUGUCCAGGGUUAACAGUGUGUGUGCAGAGUCCCCAGUGUGUGUCCAGUGCAGGGAAGUGCUGCAUUACGCAGGUUUAUGUCCAGGGUUAACAGUGUGUGUGCAGAGUCCCCAGUGUGUGUCCAGUGCAGGGAGGUGCUGCAUUACACAGGUUUAUGUCCAGGGUUAACAGAGUGUGUGCAGAGUCCCAAGUGCUUGUCCAGUGCAGGGAGGUGCUUGUCCAGUGCAGGGAGGUGCUUGUCCAGUACAGGGAGGUGCUUGUCCAGUGCAGGGAGGUGCUUGUCCAGUGCAGGGAGGUGCUUGUCCAGUGCAGGGAGGUGCUUGUCCAGUACAGGGAGGUGCUUGUCCAGUGCAGGGAGGUGCUACACCAGGGGGUCAUGUGGAUACCCACUGCACCACCAUCUGAAGUGGUCCUCUAUGUGGCCAUGUGGCCCCCCACUGCACAAGAUCUGGAAUUCUACUCUAUGUAACCAUGUGACCACCAACAGUACCAGAUCUGCAGCGGUACUCUAUAUGGUGAUGCGGACCCUCAUUAAUUUCAAUCACUAUAAAUACUACAGGGUACAAACUGUUUAAUCCCAACAAUUCUAGUUAAUGAGCUGUUAUUUAAAAGCUAUGGUAACCUGAGGUUUUAUAACUUCAACACCUAAUCACCAUUCUUUUAGACAAUAUCAUUCCUUCAUUCAUCUUAGGCCAAGCUGUGUCAUCAGACUAGUUUGGAACACUGAUCUGUACAUUACCUGAAGUAGCCUCCCUCCACUGGUGCUUUGCAUAACACCUCGGACAACUCUGUCUAGUAAUAUUCCACGAGUAUGGUUUAUACAAGGAUGUAUUUUUAAGCUGCAUUUAUUAUUCCUGAUGAUGUCCUCAGUGUUGUAUUAGGCUGGAGGACUGGGUGAGCACAUCUUCUAUCAACUUGUAGCUAAAUGGAAUAAACGUGUUGCUCUGGUGAAGAUGUAUGUGUGAUGUGACGGUGAGAUGCCCUGUACUGAUGGAAUGAGAGGAUUUUGUAAACAUUGUAAACAUUGUAUAUAUGUACAAAACAUAAAGCACAGUCAGCUUGGAAGAUUGUUUUCAGUUUUAGUUAUUGCUUGAGUUUUGUAGUGAGCUUGCAUGCUUCUUACAAGGAGAACCCGUAGUCCCAUCCUGUAUCAGUGCACCUCAUUGAGAGACGCGAAGGGUACAUGCAGACACGCAGGGUACAUACAUGAUACGUCUAUCUCUACCAUCUACUUUUGAAUCCAGGCUUUCUUCCCACAUUAAGCUGACAUGCCAUGAUAUAACUGGAAUACUGUUAAAGGAGGCUUUAAACCCAACUCACUCACUCACCUUUGAAUAAUGAUAUGACACAUAGUGUGAUAAUUCAUUUCCACUGUCAUUAUAUGAAAUUCUCCUUGGUCCAUGCAUCCCGGGCAACAAGAGGUUGUUGCCAUCAACCAGUUUGUUUUGACUGUCAUGAUUGAUUAUUUUGGCUUUUUUUUAACAGUAUUAUUCUCUCGGAUGUGAUUAGCUACGAGGUGUUUAUUGCCAGUGGAACUAUCUGGUGGGAUUAUUUAAACCAAUAGGAAUGGAUACCUGGUAGGCGUAUUAUGUGUGGUUUCAUCGGGUGUAAAGUCAUGAUACAUCAGUACAUCAGUACAUCAUGACUGCUCUAAUACAUGUCAUAUGCUUGUAGAGUCAGAGGUAGAUAUAUCAACGCAGUCAUUUACAACCCUCCCUUGUUUGAAUAUAGGUGUGCAUUUCCCAGUAAUCGUGAGUGUCUGCAAUACCUUUCUACAUUGUGUUCCUUGUAUGCAAGUUGUUGAGCGUGUAAAAUCAGUCAUCAAAAUCUCUAUACAUGGAUAAUACUUAUUAAAACAUCCCUGUAUUGUUUUUGUUUUAGUUUUAGUUUGUUAUUUUAGGCUUGCUAGUAGUUUGUUUAUUAGGCUUCAGCCCAAAGAGAACUGUUUAGAUUUUUGUUUUGUUUGACUGUAAUUUUGACUGAUACUGUUCCGUAUUAGAAAUGGGAGAGUAUUGAGAUUAUGACCAUGAUGACUGAGAUUGUGAGAAAUAUAUUGUGAUUCAUUUAUCCUGUGGCACUGAAGCUCAUGUCAUCAGAGAGAAUACUAUAUUUUUCAACCUGACUUACACUUUCUUCUGACGCACUCAACAGUUAAAUUAGUAUAUCUUUGUAUUUUUCUGCACUGGUACCUGGUGCAUUGAGACAUUCACUCAUACAAUCACCGAUAAUUAUGCAUACUUCAGAUUCUUGUAUAUUGAGAUGAUAUUACCCUUCUUCAAUAUAUAUUGAUAAUGAAUUGUAAAUUCACAUUCAGAAUCAUGUCAUGUGAAAUAUGGUGCAGAAUCUUUAUUUAUCAUCAUGAUGAUGUUUAUUGUAUGUAAUCAUUGACGUACCUUGUGUUUCUUGUAAUGUGUCAAAUCGUUAAGUGGAUCAUCUAUCUGGUGAUAGUUCUUGAGGUCUUGAAUAUUUGAUUCAAGAUGUGUCAAUUGUUUUCCAUGUUCAACUCUCUUAAACUUUCAAAAUCAAAACUUUCUGUGCAAUUACCAAAAAAGAUUACAUGACUUGAUCUCUUUUGCCAACAUCUCAAGUAUUUCUUGAUUCUUUAAAUCAACAUCCAAGAGGUAGUUAGGGAUCCUGUUCUUAACGGUCUUCAUGGAACAUUGUCAUGAACAUGUGUCUACAUGAAGCAUUGAGUGCCUUCACGGAGCAUUUUGUCUUCAUGAAGCAUUGUGUGUCUAGAUGAAGCAUUGUGUGACUUCACGGAGCAUUGUGUCAUCAUGGAGCAUUGUGUGUCUUCAUGAAACAUUGUGUGUUACAUGAAGCAUUGUGUCCUCAUGAAGCAUUGUGUCCUCAUGAAGCAUGGUCUUCAUGAAGCAUUGUGUCCUCAUGAAGCAUUGUGUUUACAUGAAGCAUGGUCUUCAUGAAGAAUUGUGUCCUCAUGAAGCAUUGUGUUUACAUGAAGCAUGGUCUUCAUGAAGAAUUGUGUCCUCAUGAAGCAUGGUCUUCGUGAAGCAUUGUGUCCUCAUGGAGCAUUGUGUCCUCAUGAAGCAUUGUGUCCUCAUGGAGCAUUGUGUCCUCAUGAAGCAUUGUGUCCUCAUGAAGCAUUGUGUCCUCAUGAAGCAUGCAUCUUCACGAAGCGUUUCAUGUCUCCACAUUGCACCUGGGUUGUAAUCCUCCAUAUAGAUCCUCAUAUAAAUGAAUAUGGUGUUAUUUAUUUCACUUAGUUUGAGUGAGAUUUGUUGCUUCAAAUUCAUGUUAGGAGUAAACCAACACUGUUUGUUAGAUGUUGUCUCUUCCUGUACAUCAACUUGAAGGAAAUUGAACACUGUUGGAAAGAUUUUGAUUCCUUAGGAUCUGUUUUGCAUAUUAACUGCUGCUGACAUGAUACAUGAGUCGCAAGUCAUACUUGAAUUGUUUACUUUUUUAUAGCAAAAAGUGUCCCAAACUGCACUUCUAACUAAAGAAAAUACAUAAGAUCGUUACAUGUUAACAGUUGUCAAUAACAUGGUCUGUUUUGUAUACAUUCAGGAUAUAUAUCAUGUGAUGACUCUAAUAUUAAAUCAUGUUUGGUAUCUAUGACGUACAUGUUAAAUCCCUCAUGUGAUACUUCUUCCCUGCAUUGUUACACCCCUUGACUAUAACACUGAUGCUCAUUUACUCUUAGGGGCGGUGGGCUAGCCGAGCAGUUAAAGCGUUCACUCGUCAUGUGGAAGACCUGGGUUUGAUUCCCCACAUGGUUACAAUGUGUGAAGCCCAUUUCUGGUGCCCCCAGUCGUGAUAUUACUGGAAUAUUGCUAAAAGCGGCGUAAAACCAUGCUCAUUCACUCUAAGGCUAUAUGGUAUGAUGUCUUCACAUACUCCAGCAUUAUCAUGUUGAACAGUGUUUAUCAAGUUGUUCAAACAAUCCAGAUGUAGAUAAUUCUAUCAGUUACAGAGUAACCUCAUCACAGAUUUAACCUACUGCACUAAUGUCUUGACUGGAGAUGGAACAUAGUCCCCCUUUUUCAGAUGUAAAGAGAUAUUUUGAGUCUAUUUGAUAAAUAUAUGCAAUUGUGUACCUGUAGCCAGCUACAUGCAAGGUGUUAUUUAUGUAUAGCUGUUUUACUUCAUUGUUUUCAUCAUCUCUUCAUCCAUCGUUUGCUGCAUGAUCUUGUUAUUUAAUUAUGUAUAGCUUAUAUCUGAAUGUAAAGUGUUAUGAUAUAUGGCAUGUAAGCCAGUUCUAGUGUACAAAACUGUCCGAGAAAUUAAAUAAAUCACUGCUUGCAAUUUCAUCAGC